UUCCAUCUCGAAUAUCUAUACUGAUGUAAAAUAAUCGGUAUCAAGUGUUAGUAAACCAGUACCAAAAUAUAUCGGUACACGGGUCUGUACCAACGAAUUUCUAGAAUAUGAACAGCCUUAUCAGUUACUACUUGCGGGAGACCCACGAAUCGUAGUUAAUUAAAUUGGCGCGAACAACCAGCUACCAGCAGCUAUAAGGCGCGUUUAUACCGA